CGCUAACGCUAGCAACCCCAGCCUGCGGGUUCCCGUGGAGACAGGCCACGGUUACCCGGUAUUUGUCUCGCCUUUGUUUUAUUUACAUUUCAGGUUGCGGUUUCCAGUGCUUGGCAAGUGGAUACGUGAUCCGGUUUUCACAUUGCCUCUUUCUCUGGGUAUCACUGUGCAUGCAACAGAGUCUGGCUUCAAACGAGAUUCUCAAGCUCCGCCUCCUGAGUACUGGCUUGACAAGCAUGAACAGAACCAGUUUUUUCCUAACACCAGAGAUCCUUAGGAUGCUCCUGGCUGGCUACAGAAUCGACUUAGAAGUCAAUGGUGUGUGAGACCACAGAGCAGCAGCUGCAUAGAGAGUAGGAAAACGGUGCUCUCAAUCUUAGGAGGGAGGGGAGCUUUUAAAGUCCAGGGGCUGGAGAGAGAGCUGGCUCAGCUGUUAAGAGAACUGGAUGCGGGGCUGGGGAUUUAGCUCAGUGGUAGAGCGCUUACCUAGGAAGGCCCUGGGUUCGGUCCCCAGCUCCGAAAAAAAGAACCAAAAAAAAAAAAAAAAAAAAGGCAUGUACCCACGGUACCCUGCAGAAGUAAAAGUUUAAAUCAUUUAAUUUUAUGUGUAUGAGUGUUUUACCCGCAUGUAUGUAAGUGUACGUGUGCCUGCUUGGUGCCCUCAGAGGUCUGAACGUGACAUUGUAUCCCCUGAGACUGGAGUUAUAGAUGAUCGUGGACCAUAAUGUGGGUGCUGGGAAUCAGCCUGGCUCUUCCGCAAAAGCAACAAGUAUCAUAAUAAAGCCAUCUCUCCAGCUCCAUAAACAUUUUAAUUAAUUUACUGAUUUUAUAUGUGUGGAUGUUCGGCCUACAUGGGAGCAUGUGCCUGGUGCUUAAGGAGGCCAGAAGAGUGCAUUGGAUCCCGUGGGACUGUACUUACAGAUGGUCGUGGGCUGCCAUGUGGGUACUGGGAAUUAAACACGAGUCCUCUGGAAGAACAGCCGGUGCUCCUAGCUGCUGAGCCACCACACUAGCAUUUGACAUCAAGAAUGUCUGUAUUUGGGGGUUGGGGAUUUAGCUCAGUGGUAGAGCGCUUGCCUAGCAAACGCAAGGCCCUGGGUUCGGUCCCCAGCUCCGAAAAAAAAAGAAAGAAAGAAAGAAAAAGAAAAAAAAAAGAAUGUCUGUAUUUGACAGAUUUAGAGAAACUACAAGUACACGGCCCAAGAUUACUCUCGAGCCAGGAGUAGCAACUGUAAUCCCUCCACAGGUGGAUAUGGGAAUUCUGUAACCUUAAAUUCAAGGUGAGCCAGGCCAUGUUGUGGAGAGCUUGUCUCGAGAUUAAGUAAGUUAAAAAAUAUUUUAAUGUUUAUUAAUAUGCUAAUAUAUUUUAUUAAUAUAUUAAAAUUUAAAACAAUUAAAAAAAACAGUGUAGGGAAAUGGCCCAGUGAAUAAAGGGCUCGAUGGGAAACCUUCCAUUUGAAUUCAGUCUCCAGAAUCGGUGAAAAACCCACAUGCAUUGCAAACCUGUCAUCCCAGUCUCCUACGCCAAGGAGACAAGAGGGUCAGCUUAUAACCGCCAGCUUUUCCACCUGUGCCCCAGGUCCCAAACGGCAACUCAAAGGCGUAACAUUAUUAGUAAAUACCUAAGCCAUAAGCUAGGCCCACUCCCCAGCUAACUCAAGUUAAAUCCCGUUUAUUCUAACCUGAAUUCAGCUACGUGGCUGGCUUCCUCUCCUCAGCUUAUUGACCAUCAGUUUUUUUAUUGAUAGGUGAUGCUUCCACAGGGUACUCAGGAGAUUAUCCCUAUAUCACCUGGAAACAAGGCUUGCUAGAAGUCUCGGAGCCCAUAUAAGUAUGUGGGUCAAUGUACUGGCUGGUUUUGUGUGUCAACUGGACACAAGCUGGAGUUAUCACAGAGAAAGGAGCCUCCAUUGAAGAAAUGCAUUCCUGAGACCCAGCUGUAAGGCAUUUUCUCAAUUAGUGAUCAAGGGGAGAGGACCCAGCCCACCUGUGGGUGGUGCCAUCUCUGGGCUAGUGGUCUUGGGUUCUAUAAGAAAGCAGGCUGAGCAAGCCAGGGGGAGCAAGCCAGUAAGUAACAUCCCUCCACGGCCUCUGCAUCAGCUCCUGCUUCCUGACCUGCUUGAGUUCCUGUCCUGACUCUCUUUGGUGAUGAACAGCCAUGUGGAAGUGUAAGCUGAAUAAACCCUUUCCUCCCCAGCUUGCUUCUUGGUCACGAUGUUUGUGCGGGAAUAGAAACCCUGACUAAGACAGUCAGCUAUCCCGGGAUGGACAUCUCAGUGGUAGAAACGAGAGAUCCUGCCUGAAAAACCAUGUGGAAGAUACGGGGCUGGAGGAAUGGCUCAGGAGUCAAGGGCACUGGCUGUCCUUUCAGAUAACCAGGGUUCAAUUGGCAGCACCCACUUGACCACUGUCAACUGUAACUCCAGUUCCAGGGCACGGAAUACCCUGCUUCUGGUCUCUGUGAGCUCUAGACAUUCAUGUACACAUACAUACAUACAUACAAGGAAAACACACGUACACAUAAGAUAAUUUAAGAAAAACACAAGGUAGGAGGAGAGAACUGACACACAGGAACAAACCCACAGGGACAUACAACCCACAGGUUUUUUUCUUCCUAUAUAGAUAUAUGAUAAUUUAAUGUAUAUAUGAUUUUCUUCUGUAUAUAUUUUUCUAUAUAAUAUAUAUGACUAUAUAAUUUUUAUGAUAAAAUAUGAUACAUCUUUUUUUCCUUUUUUUUUUUUUUGGAAAAAGGGUCUCUAUGUCCUAGAAUUGCUAAGUAGAUCAGGAUAUCCCAAAACACAAAGUUCUGCCUCUGCCUCCUGAGUGCUAGGAUUAAAGUUGUGUAUCCCAACACUCCAUAUAUUUACAUCGUGUGUGUGUGUGUGUGUGUGUGUGUGUGUGUGUGUCACGGUGGUGCUGGUGGAGGUCAGAGUCUUCUCCCCUUUCAUCACUCAUCAUGUGGGUCCCAGAGAUCAAGCUCAAGUGACCUACUUUCACUUUCGGGGCCACCUUGCUGUCUUCUUUCAACCAAGUUUUGCUCAAUAUCUGAUGGCGGGUCUGGUAAGACAGCUCCCUGGUUAAGAUCCCUUGUUGCCCUUACAGAGGACUCAGGCUGCUGUCUGGCCUCUGCCUGGCUGUUGAGUCAUAACCACCACCAGAAGAUGACAAGAACACAGCCGCUGGAACCCGUCAGCCAAUAGCCCCGAGCAAGUUAUUAACUCCUAAGCCUCAAUUUUCUCAUCAGUAAAAUGGGCCUAAUAAUCAUUUGCAAAGCCAGGCUAAUGCCAACCUUGGGUUUCCCACACGGCAGUUAGAGAGAUGAAAUGCAAUAAAUGCAUGUGAAAGCAACUUGUGAACCAGAAAGCCGCUCACACUGGGAGCCAUUACUAAGAGGUUGUGAGAAACAAGUGCCUGGGAAAGAGUCUAUUAUCGCGAGCGCACGCGUGUGUGUGGAUUGUGCCACUCAGAGGACAACGUUUGGGAGCUGAUGCUCUCCUUUCACAGGGUUUUCACAUCCGGGCUGGACUUCCGGCCACUCUGCUACCCUGAGAGACGGUCGGCUUUACCAACUCCUAGACAUUUCCUUCACCGCCUCGACUCUUUCUGCUUACUCGUUUGUACUUCCGUCUUACCUUUCUGAGCCUGCAACCCUGUACACGGGGACACUCCGGCCUGCUUCCCCCCAUACUGCCUUGCUCUCAGUGUCUGAGAGAGGCAGUGUCUCAGGGAGCUCCUGCUGGAGUCACGUGCUUUAGUGGACCAUACCCUGACGCCAGAUACCGCCAGCGUUGGGUCCAAGGAGAACUCACCUGAGGAGAGAGGAAAUCAUCUGUCCAAUGUAGACCUUGAAAACUAACUCCCUAUCCCCCCUCACCACCCCCUCCACAGGGUUUCUCAAAAGGUCCACCUGCCUCUGUCUCCUGAGAGCUGUGACUGAAGCCUGUGCCACCCCUGCUUGGCAAACUGUCUUUUUAAAAAAGAAUAAAUUCGUAUUUUUCUGUG